CACUCACACACAUGGCGAGGAAUUCAGCAGGCAGGAGGAGUUAGCCUGGGGGUGCAGGGGCUGCAGACCCCCUGAAAAUAGCCCAGGAAGCAACGUGUCGCCACCUCGCUAAUCCACUGGCCAUGAGUUUGGUACCUCAAGCUGGGCACCACUCCCAGGGACACGGAGAUGAUGGGUCACUGUCCCUGCCUUGCAGAGAGAGAGCUACCGUGCACCGUGACAGCCUGUGACACCUGACCAAUGAUGUGGGCGCUGCAGGGGACACCACCAAGCAACACCAGAGGAUCAGAGGAGAGUCCCAGAGGUGGCUCUGGCUGGGGAGGUUGCAGAUGGGCGCUCAGGUGGGAGCUGGGGUGCAGGGACGUUCUGAGGCGGGACAGCUGAGGUGCAGGAGCCCUGGGGCUGAUGUACCCUGAGCCAUGCCACCGCACCCCAGGACUGGCACCCCACGUUCCCUUAGCACUGGGGGCUGAGGAAUCCUAAGGGAGGUGCCAGGGCGCCAAUCAGACCCCUGCCUGGGGCUUCGGGGUCUACCCUAACCCCACGUGCCAGAAUCAGCUGUAAAUUCUGUGGGACCUCCAGGGUUAAAUCUGAGAAAUGGGGACAUCAUAAACUGAGCUUCUAGAGAAGGAAAAGGCCCAAGGUGUUCACGCCCAGGAGAGCCUUGCAGCCACCCAAGGCCACCAGGCGUUGACCUUCCGGGGACACACUCUGCUUUGUAGAGAUGGGGAGAGGGAGGCCAGGGCCGAGGGCGGGGCCUGGGGCUGGGGCUCAGGAUCCCACCGGUCAGCACAGGCCUCUCCGCUCACUUCCCGAAUGCCAGGGCGGCCACCCUGGAUGUUGUCACAGGCUUUUAUUUCCCCACAGGAAGAAAGGAUUGUUUUGCUCUGGCAGAUGCCCCAGGGAGCGCUGUGGUCCCUGAGCGAGGAGCCCGGGGUCCCAGGGGCCCACAACAGGUGGGAGGGGCUGGGAGGAGACUGGAAGAAUGGUCUCCUUCUCCAGCCACCUUGCACCUGGCAGCCAUCACCAGGCCCUCAGCCUCUGGCCCCCAACUCAGGAGGGGGCCGGGCGGGGACAGCCCAGCCUGUGGCUGUGGCAGGCCAUCGCACACAGAAUGCACGUGGACAGGUGCACAGGCACGAGGACCCAGCGGGGAGGGGUGGGCAGGCUGGGCCCUGGGGAGCCGGCCACCACCGUGUCAGGCACACACCUGGAGGCUGCCCAGACGCCCACAGCCCACACCAAUUAGGAACUUACUUUACAUUAUUUUAAUUUGUCUCUGGAGCCUUGGAAGGAAAGUCAUGCAAUUAUUAUUAUUAUUAUUAUUUUGGAAACUCCAGCAGCCAUUAUAUAAAUUACGUCUAAUUUAAUACAUUGGAGGCAGUUUUUUUUCUAAACAAUCAUGUUUUCCCUUCCCCGACGACGGGGCCACUGUCCCCUAAUAAUUCUGCUCAGUGUUGCAAUGGGGAAAUGUCCUGACCCUGAGAGGAAGAGAGAGGCCUCUGGGUUACACUGAUCUCUCCACCCAAAGAGGGGACAAGAGACUUUGAAAGCAGUUGGUUUGGGGUGCCAUGGGUGUACUGUGUGCCCUCUGAGAAGUUGCCUAACCUCUCUGAGUCUCUGUUUUGCGUCACAGGCUGAUGCCCUCCAGGUAGUGCCCUGGAGCGUCUUCAUCCACCAGGUGGAUUCGCUCAGCCCAGAGCAGGGACAGAGGACAUGGUGAUUGAAGGGGGCCUGAGAUGCAUUGUAACCAGGUAUGGUAAGACACACAGACAUAGCAGUGACUGUCACGAAGGGACACGUUUUUAUCAUUGUCACUGACCUGGGAAAGGGAAGUAGGCAUCCCACCCCAAAUGUCAGAGCAGCGGACGAAACAGGAAUCCGACGGACACCAGCUGCCGGCUCAGGCUCUGGUCCUGCCGGUAGGCACUGGGCAUUUUUGUGACCUUGCUUGAUGGCCACAGUUGCCCACUGGGGCUGGGCUGGGUGUGCCCACCCUGCAGUGUUGACAAGGAAACUGAGGCCCAGAAAGGAAACCCCCUUCCCGAGGCCACACAGGGACAGGGCCAGGGUGAAGACCAGCCUGGAGUGACACGCAGGGCCCAGGUCGAGGUCCCCUCGGUACAAGGUUAGGAACUGUGGGCUCCUGAAGACCAGAAGAGGGGGCGACCAGUGGAUCGGACAUGGGGUGGCUCCUGGGCUAUGUCAGAGUCUAAUGAGGUUGUACCUGGGGAGCAUCAGCACUUAAUAGGUGCCCAGUAAGCAGCACUCUUGGGUGAGCCAGAGGGGCCCCUGCCCCCGCCUCUAGGCCCCAGUGUCCCCAUUUGUACAGCAAGGAGAGCUCUGGCCACUGCACUUGGGGAAACUCACCCGACUGAUGCUCGAAUGCUCCAGAGACAGGGUGUGCCAAAGCAGCACAGUAAACACCCAGAGACAUCCUGUGUCCACCAGGGGGGACACAUGCACACAGGGGGCUGCUGGGGCCACCGCACAGCUGGCAAAGCCACACGUCACAUGGAAGGAGGGACAGGAGCAGCCGUGGCCUGACAUCACCACGGGGAAGGCUGAGCGGCAGCCACAGGAAGCUCUGGGUUCACGGCUCAGCCUUUCCUUCAGGGCUGGGGAUUGAACCCAGGCCCUCACCCCUACUGGGCAGGCACUGGCUGGAGCCAACCCCGAGUCCUUUUUGAUUUUGACAACAGGUCUGGAUAAGUCUCCCAGGCUGGCCUGGAACCUGCUAUCCUCCUGACUCAGCCUCCUGAGUUGCUGGGUCGACCUGUGUGUGCUCAUCCCUUUUGUACCAUGGUCUUGCUAAGUUGCUGAGGUUGGCCUUGAACUUACGAUCCUCCCGACUCAGCCUCCCCAGCCGCUGGGAUUCCAGGUGUGCACCACUGCGCCCAGUGACUGCAGUGUUAUUCACAACAGUCAAAGAAAGAUUGAAAGCCACAGAAAUGUCCAUCAGUGGAUGAACAUAUCGACCAAAUGUGGUCCAUGGGUUCAACAGAACGCCUCACAACCCCAUGAAGGAAUGGAGGGCCUAUGGACCUUGAGGACCCCACUUCUGUGGAGUGUCUGGAAAAGGCAAAUAAAUCAUAGCAACAGAGAGGGCUGAACCUUGGGAGGGGAAACCAGGAGGUGAGUGGUGAUCGUUGUGAUUUCCUUGUUGGGAGGUGAUGAGAACCUUCUGGAAACAGCUACUAUGGGUGGUAAGUCACACAAUCUGGGAAGAUACUGAACCGUGCCCGGGAAGGGGCGAGUUUGCUGGAAAACCUCGCGUUACUUUUCCGGGGUUGCCUUUAA